GACGAACGCUGGCGGCGUGCUUAACACAUGCAAGUCGAACGGAAAGGCCCUGCUUUGUGGGGUGCUCGCGUGGCGAACGGGUGAGUAACACGUGAGUAACCUGCCCUUGACUUUGGGAUAACUUCAGGAAACUGGGGCUAAUACCGGAUAGGAGCUCCUGCUGCAUGGUGGGGGUUGGAAAGUUUCGGCGGUUGGGGAUGGACUCGCGGCUUAUCAGCUUGUUGGUGGGGUAGUGGCUUACCAAGGCUUUGACGGGUAGCCGGCCUGAGAGGGUGACCGGCCACAUUGGGACUGAGAUACGGCCCAGACUCCUACGGGAGGCAGCAGUGGGGAAUAUUGCACAAUGGGCGGAAGCCUGAUGCAGCAACGCCGCGUGCGGGAUGACGGCCUUCGGGUUGUAAACCGCUUUCGCCUGUGACGAAGCGUGAGUGACGGUAAUGGGUAAAGAAGCACCGGCUAACUACGUG
rnacentral:rRNA from 1 species